UAUAUAAAAAGGGAAGGACAAAUACAAAAGAUCGGAUCCAUAACCUACACUCUCAGAUCAAGAGUGAAGGGGAGCCGAUGUAAAAGAAAAGCCAGACAAAUAAGGAAGAGGGAACUACAACCGCGGGGAAGACCCUCCGCAACAACCAGAACGGAGAGAACGGAGAGAACUAAAACAAAGCGAGCAGAAACACGAUCAUUGAGCAGAAAAGACCGCCGGAUCGAAUCCCCAGCACCUUUGAAGUCUUUUGUUCCUCGGAGAAGGAGAGACCUUCGAAAAAGAGAUAGCUCUAUCUCUAACUGAUUUGAUAAGAUGAUUCUUAAGUGCAGAAAUAGCAACUGUCUCAUCCCGGAAGAUAGCAGCGUUCCUCAUCUUCCAGAUCAAAUGGC
rnacentral:lncRNA from 1 species